GUGAAGUCAACCAAAAUUUGUUUAUCUCAAAGUAGUUCAAUACAUUUUCUGAGUACAUAUUCAAAUUGGUCCCUGAAAUAUGAGUGUGUUGGUUGAUAAAUCCCUGAUUAAAAUUUUCAUUUAAAUGAGUUCUUAAAAAAAAUCAUCUUUUGGUGGUCAAAUCACUCUGAUCUUGAACAGUUUGGCCUUGGCCACUAGUUCAUUCAUUCAAUCUUCCUCCUUUCCAUUUUCCUUUCCAUUUCCCUUUUUGGUUCCAACUCCCUUUAGUUUUUUAUACUGUUUUAGACUUGUAAUGUUUGCUCGUGAGCCUUCUCUUCUCAGCAUUCCUCCUCUCAUUAAUUCUUU
rnacentral:lncRNA from 1 species